rnacentral:rRNA from 1 species
UCCAGACUCCUACGGGAGGCAGCAGUGAGGAAUAUUGGUCAAUGGGCGAGAGCCUGAACCAGCCAAGUCGCGUGAAGGAUGACGGCCCUACGGGUUGUAAACCUCUUUUGUCAGGGAACAAAGGCGGGGACGUGUCCCCGGAUGAGUGUACCUGAAGAAAAAGCAUCGGCUAACUCCGUGCCAGCAGCCGCGGUAAUACGGAGGAUGCGAGCGUUAUCCGGAUUUAUUGGGUUUAAAGGGUGCGCAGGCGGUCUGUUAAGUCAGCGGAAAAACCCCGGGGCCAACCCCCGGCCCGCCGUUGAAACUGGCAGUCUCGAGUUGGAGAGAAGUAUGCGGAAUGCGCGGUGUAGCGGUGAAAUGCAUAGAUAUCGCGCAGAACUCCGAUUGCGAAGGCAGCAUGCCGGCUCCACACUGACGCUGAGGCACGAAAGCGUGGGUAUCGAACAGGAUUAGAUACCCGAGUA